GAGUUUGAUCAUGGCUCAGGACGAACGCUGGCGGCGUGCCUAACACAUGCAAGUGGAGCGACGAACCAGACUUCGGUCUGGGGCAAAGCCGCGAACGGGUGAGUAACACGUGGGUAACCUGCCCUGAUGAUCGGGACAACCCGUCGAAAGACGGGCUAAUACCGAAUGUGUCCUCCGGCCAUAAGGCUGGUGGGGAAAGGAAGCUUCGGCCUCCGCAUUGGGAUGGGCCCGCGGUGCAUUAGCUAGUUGGUGAGGUAACGGCUCACCAAGGCGACGAUGCAUAGCUGGUCUGAGAGGACGAUCAGCCACACUGGGACUGAGACACGGCCCAGACUCCUACGGGAGGCAGCAGUGGGGAAUCUUGCGCAAUGCGCGAAAGCGUGACGCAGCAACGCCGCGUGGGUGAAGACGGCCUUCGGGUUGUAAAGCCCUUUCAGUUGGGACGAAGCUUUGCGAGUUAAUAGCUCGUUGGAGUGACGGUACCUUCAGAAGAAGCCCCGGCUAACUACGUGCCAGCAGCCGCGGUAAUACG
rnacentral:rRNA from 1 species